rnacentral:lncRNA from 1 species
GAUGCCUGCUACUCGCAAUCUGCUCACAGGCAAUUUGCAAAUAAGAAAGGAAGUUUAAAUUCAGUCACCAGAAAUAGCUCAUUUCUGGGUUUGCAAGUUGUCUGGGAGCUGCUCGCAGUUUUGUCAUUUGCGGUUAAAAAAAAAAAAAAAAAAAGAAAAAAAAAAAAAAAAGCAAAAUCCGAAGAAGACAGAAAGCAGAAGUCUGGCUGGGGAACAGAGCUGAGCAUUGCGGCAGGAGCGGAUUCGCUGCGUCCACAUCCCCGUCAGCCAGCUCCUGCAGCCGUUCGGGGCAGGCACGGAGAUCGGCUACAAAGCACCGUGGCCCUCGUCCCAGGAACGGCGAGGAGAAUUUAUGAAAUGGACGUGAAAGGCAAACAGGGCCUUGGAAGUUUUCCCCAGCGUGAGAGAAGCUCUUGAAGUUUAUUCACAUAACAGCCAUCUUAUUAAAGAGUGUCUUGGAGAACUUUGAACAGCUUUCUAUAUGGAAACAAAUCUGCCUCUAUAGCAGCAGUUUUCUGUGUUUCUUUUGAUAACGAUAAUGAUCUUACAUUUCUGUGCUGCCUUUCAUCUUGCCGGAUCUUAAUGAGCUUUACAGACAAAUGUGCAAGCUAUACGCAAAGAUCAAUUCG